UACGUAGGGUGCAAGCGUUGUCCGGAAUUACUGGGCGUAAAGGGCGCGUAGGCGGCCUGUUAAGUCAGACGUGAAAUCCCUCGGCUCAACCGGGGAACUGCGUCUGAUACUGGCGGGCUUGAAUUCGGGAGAGGGAUGUGGAAUUCCAGGUGUAGCGGUGAAAUGCGUAGAUAUCAGGAGGAACACCGAUGGCGAAGGCAGGUCUCUGGGCCACUACUGACGCUGAGAAGCGAAAGCAUGGGGAGCGAACAGG
rnacentral:rRNA from 1 species